rnacentral:lncRNA from 1 species
GCUCUCCAUGCCUACCUGUGGUCUCUUGGACACCCUUGCAGAAGAUGACUUCCUGGGAACUCUUCUGGGAGUGAAUGUUAUCAGCAAAUUCCCAAAACAACACCCCUUAGACAAAAAGCCUCCUCACCUAUGCAUUGCCUAGACCACCCACUAAAGAUGGUGACCAUGGAGGAAGACUUGUGUUGGGCCCAAUGGCCCUCGGCCAGUGUCCGUCUGCCAGGUGCCAGCCCCCGGUGCGCUGAAGCUCAGGCCAUUCCUGAUGCCCUGGCCUCCUGCACUGAGCUGUGUGAGCUCUUCUGCCCAGGCAGGCCCCCUGGCAUUGACCGGCAUAGACAGUGAGCCUGGAGGAAGACUUGCCCUGGUCCCACUGUCCCUGGGCCAGUGUCCAUCAGCCAGGUGCCCAGACCCCAGUGCGCUGAAGCUCAGCCCUCCCUGGCACUCUGGUCUCCUGCACUGAGCUGUGUGAGCUCUUCCGCCCAUGAGGGCCCCCUGGCCUUGAGCAGCAUAGGU